rnacentral:rRNA from 1 species
UGGAGCAUGUGGUUUAAUUCGACGCAACGCGAAGAACCUUACCAGGGCUUGACAUCUUCUGACCGCUUAAGGAAACUUAAGCUUUCCGGAAGGUUUACUUUCUGGACAGAAAGACAGGUGGUGCAUGGUUGUCGUCAGCUCGUGUCGUGAGAUGUUGGGUUAAGUCCCGCAACGAGCGCAACCCCUACGGUUAGUUGCUAACGGGUAAGGCCGAGCACUUUAGCCGAACUGCCGUUGACAAACGGAGGAAGGCGGGGAUGACGUCAAAUCAUCAUGCCCUUUAUGUCCUGGGCUACACACGUGCUACAAUGGCCUGUACAAAGGGCAGCAAAGGGGCGACCCGGAGCAAAUCCCAAAAAACAGGUCUCAGUUCGGAUUGCGGGCUGCAACUCGCCUGCAUGAAGGCGGAAUCGCUAGUAAUCGCAGGUCAGCAUACUGCGGUGAAUACGUUCCCGGGCCUU